AGAGUUUGAUCAUGGCUCAGAUUGAACGCUGGCGGCAGGCCUAACACAUGCAAGUCGAGCGGAUGAGGGGUGCUUGCACCCCGAUUCAGCGGCGGACGGGUGAGUAAUGCCUAGGAAUCUGCCCGAUAGUGGGGGACAACGUUUCGAAAGGAACGCUAAUACCGCAUACGUCCUACGGGAGAAAGUGGGGGCUCUUCGGACCUCACGCUAUCGGAUGAGCCUAGGUCGGAUUAGCUAGUUGGUGGGGUAAAGGCCCACCAAGGCGACGAUCCGUAACUGGUCUGAGAGGAUGAUCAGUCACACUGGAACUGAGACACGGUCCAGACUCCUACGGGAGGCAGCAGUGGGGAAUAUUGGACAAUGGGCGAAAGCCUGAUCCAGCCAUGCCGCGUGUGUGAAGAAGGUCUUCGGAUUGUAAAGCACUUUAAGUCGGGAGGAAGGGCUGUAGGUUAAUACCCUGCGGUUUUGACGUUACCGACAGAAUAAGCACCGGCUAACUUCGUGCCAGCAGCCGCGGUAAUACGAAGGGUGCAAGCGUUAAUCGGAAUUACUGGGCGUAAAGCGCGCGUAGGUGGUUAGGUAAGUUGGAUGUGAAAGCCCCGGGCUCAACCUGGGAACUGCAUCCAAAACUGCCUGACUAGAGUACGGUAGAGGGUGGUGGAAUUUCCUGUGUAGCGGUGAAAUGCGUAGAUAUAGGAAGGAACACCAGUGGCGAAGGCGACCACCUGGACUGAUACUGACACUGAGGUGCGAAAGCGUGGGGAGCAAACAGGAUUAGAUACCCUGGUAGUCCACGCCGUAAACGAUGUCGACUAGCCGUUGGGCUCCUUGAGAGCUUAGUGGCGCAGCUAACGCAUUAAGUCGACCGCCUGGGGAGUACGGCCGCAAGGUUAAAACUCAAAUGAAUUGACGG
rnacentral:rRNA from 1 species